UAUGUAUAGCAGUAGUACAGGGCCUGUUUGGUUUGGUUCUAAUUUAUUACCCUACCAAAAUUUUGUUAACUUUAAUAGUAGCAAGUGUAUGUUUGGUUUGCUACCAAAUUCUACCCACAAUAGUUUAAAUUAAAUACUACUCAAUUUGUUAGUGCCAAAAUUUACCAAUAUUUUGGCACUACCAAGAUUUUGGUAGGGCAAAAAUUGACUCCAAACCAAACAAGCCCAUAAUUUACUCGCCUACAUU
rnacentral:misc_RNA from 1 species